CGACACCCUAACAAAUCCCAUUUCCGACUGUGGACGAAGAAUGCGAACAAUUCUACUGAACAAAGGGCUAGAAAACUAAGAAAAUGCCAGGCAGGAGAAAGCAAACCCAAAGAAAAAGGAUGAGAUGUCAAAGAAUGCUCAGUUUCGAGCAAUACAACCUAAUAAAUAUAUCAUUUCAUUCGUAGAAGAGAAUGUAAUUUGCAUAGCUAUGUGUUGUUAAGUCUGUUUUGCUUUUUAGGCAUUCUAUUAACUUUUCAUGUGUUGUUCCAUUUAUUAUUAUUUAUUAUUUUGUUAACAGUUUUUGGGCAUGAUUGAGAUUAAAAGAGCAGGCUAUAACACUAACCUCACUUCCUCUAUAGUUAAUAUCCCCUUUUCUAACAAUGCUGAGAGAGAAAGAAUUGAAGAAAAUGUAUGUAUUUGAUAUUUAUGUAACAGAAA